rnacentral:misc_RNA from 1 species
AGUCAGUGCAUCAUCUAGUGUGGAAACAUAGAAAUACUAAUUUAGUAGACGAAUAUUGUUUAUUAUGUAUAAUGCAAUCCUCGUGGGAGUUGUUUGUAGAGAUACAGACAGUCUGGUUCUUAUAGAGUUGUUUCCCUUUCAUGAGAUUUUCUUUGUGUUCAGCUAUUAUUCUUGACUGAUAUGUCCACUUGCCAGAUUGUUUAAUUCAUGUGUUUUAACUUGUUGUGAGUGUAAGCUUUGAUACAUUGUAUGCAACAAACGUGGAGAAGGGAGACUCUGGCUCUCUUAUUUAGUGGCUCACUAUAUCAGUAAGAAACACGGCCAAUGAACUAGAGUGGAGGCCUAUGGUAACUGUAGAAAUUAGAUCUUAUGUUGUACAUGUAAUGCUUUAUUUCACAUUCCAUGACAUUGUUUUAAUAUUUAAAUAUACACAGUAUAAACAUCUGAGGUUCUUCUAAAGUCUUUCCAGCCAAUCAUAGUUCGAUUAAUUUUGUAAAUGAUUCAGAAAGUAAUGACCGACUGCCCCUUGUCCCCCUGUUCAAUAUCAAUCUGGUUAAAUUCAGCUGAACAUUCUGAUACGCUAUCGCUCGUUCCAGAGCAGUAGCGGAGUGUAUCAGAACUACUGAUUGACUCAGGUAUAUAGGUUCAAUACUACUUCUGCUGAUAGUCUGUGUACUAUACUUAUCCGUCCAUCUAUUCAUUUUGGAAGUUCAAAUGUUUACACUCCAUAGUGGGGUUAUGGGGGAGGCAGAUUGAGAAAGUCUGUGCAAAAUAUAGCAUAUCAUCAUGAUCAACUCUAUACUAUGGUAGCUAGCUUGUGAUUAUUUAUGUUGUUUUAAUAUUUAUAUCUGUGUUAAAGUCAAUUUAUGUUGAACACACUUGAACAAAAUUAAACAUGUCUUAUUUUUGUGAUUCUUAAAGUUCUCUCCCUUAUUUGUUUAUAAAAAUAUAUGUUGAUGCAUUCAUGAGGUUCAAUUGUUUACAAAUUCUAUUUAAUAUAUCUUAUAUUUUUAUAUCAAUAUUUUUAUGAAUUAAAUAUAUUUCAUAC